UGCUGAGUGUCCUGCACUUCCUCUCCUCAGGCUGAGUGGUCUCUGUGACUCCUGUUGAAAUACUGAAUGUUGCUGAAGUGACACUGUGUGAGUUUCCGGAUCUAGACCACAGGAGCCUCCAUUUCCUUCCUCCCUUCUCUUACAAGACAGCUGUCACGCCAGAAGUGUGAAAACCUUGAGAUCACCAUGCUGUGAGAAGCCCAAACUACAUGGAGGACCAGAAGGAUGAGAUGCCAUAAAGAAAGAGGGUGUGAAGUUUGUUUUCCCCAAACUGUGCAUCGACCACUUUUGAUCCCUGCCUGCUGAACUGGUUCCAGCAAGUGGCACCCAACAUGGGGCUGAAAAGUGAAGGAUUGUGGAGAACGAAACUGCAGGUGAAAUAUCAAUAUCGGCUCACGGUCCUGAAGAAGAGGGAUGAGGCCUCAGAAAAUCCCCCUUUGUGAUAUAAAGAAACUCUUGUCCUCAAGUCACUGAUGGUUUAAAACAAUUUAGUGAUUUACACCUGUGCCCAAUAUGCUACUAGAGAUCAGUGGAGAAGUAACUCCAGAAAGAAUGAAAGGAUAGAG